rnacentral:rRNA from 1 species
AGACUGAACGCUGGCGGCAGGCCUAACACAUGCAAGUCGAGCGGUAGAGAGGUGCUUGCACCUCUUGAGAGCGGCGGACGGGUGAGUAAUGCCUAGGAAUCUGCCUAGUGGUGGGGGAUAACGUUCGGAAACGGACGCUAAUACCGCAUACGUCCUACGGGAGAAAGCGGGGGACCUUCGGGCCUCGCGCCAUUAAAUGAGCCUAGGUCGGAUUAGCUAGUUGGUGAGGUAAUGGCUCGAACCAAGGCGACGACCCGUAAUGGUCUGAGAGGAUGAUCGAAGAACACUGGAACUGAGACACGGCCAGACUCCGUACGGGAGCAGGCAGGUGGGAAUAGUUAGGAACAAGUGGGGACGAAAGCCGUUAGAACUCCAGGACCA